GACGAACGCUGGCGGCGUGCUUAACACAUGCAAGUCGAACGGAAAGGCCCUGCUUUUGUGGGGUGCUCGAGUGGCGAACGGGUGAGUAACACGUGAGUAACCUGCCCUUGACUUUGGGAUAACUUCAGGAAACUGGGGCUAAUACAGGAUAGGAGCUCCUGCUGCAUGGUGGGCGUUGGAAAGUUUCGGCGGUUGGGGAUGGACUCGCGGCUUAUCAGCUUGUUGGUGGGGUAGUGGCUUACCAAGCCUUUGACGGGUAGCCGGCCUGAGAGGUUGACCGGCCACAUUGGGACUGAGAGACGGCCCAGACUCCUACGGGAGGCAGCAGUGGGGAAUAUUGCACAAUGGGCGGAAGCCUGAUGCAGCAACGCCGCGUGCGGGAUGACGGCCUUCGGGUUGUAAACCGCUUUCGCCUGUGACGAAGCGUGAGUGACGGUAAUGGGUAAAGAAGCACCGGCUAACUACGUG
rnacentral:rRNA from 1 species